GAGGGAAAGUUGAAAAGAACUUAGAGGUGAGAGUUCAACAGGGCGUGAAACCGCUUAGAAGUAAACGGAUGGUGCUGACAUUGUUUCUGCCGGAUUCAGCCGGUCUGAUGGACAACCGUUCGUUCGCUGAUCGCAAGACGGCGGGCGGAUUGUGCUUGACCUAGGACCGGUGCAUUUCCGGUAGAAUGCAUCAUGACCGCUGACGACGCUGGCAUAAGGCCGGUUUGUUGCCGACUGUAGGUUUUCGGACUUGCAGUGCCCCACUUACCGUGUCCUGUCCGAGUUGGCGUCAGCGGGAACUGGACGUGCCCGGCUUUCUCAUGCUGUGCUUUCCUUUGGCCGAAUGCACUGUCUGACCGUGUUCGCACGGUCGGGCGACCCUCGGUCAAUCGUCUGUACAGCUUUGAGGUGGCACUGAAGGUCUAUGGUGUCCGCGUCAGUCUCCCAUCCGACCCGUCUUGAAACACGGACCAAGGAGUCUAACAUGUGCGCAAGUCAUAGGGUGGAAAACCCGAAGGCGUAAUGAAAGUAAAGGCCGCAAGGCUGAGGUGUGAUGUCUCGCUUCUGUGGGACCGCAACACCGUCCCAUCGCAUCGGCUUGUCCGGGCGGUGGAGAUAGAGCGUACAUGUUGGGACCCGAAAGAUGGUGAACUAUGCCUGAGCAGGAUGAAGCCAGAGGAAACUCUGGUGGAGGUCCGUAGCGGUUCUGACGUGCAAAUCGAUCGUCAGACUUGGGUAUAGGGGCGAAAGACUAAUCGAACCAUCUAGUAGCUG
rnacentral:rRNA from 1 species